AUCAGUUCUAUGGCCCAUAUUCCAAUGUCCCACAGUGAGCAAAAAAAAACACAUACCCAGAUGAAUAAUUUGCCAAAAAAGAGAAAAAGAAACAAAGUUAUGCAACUGAAAUUGAAAGGACGAAGAAGAUGAAGCAGACCUUCUGGCCUCUCUCAAUGAACUUGACAGCAAAAAGCUCAUUGGUGCGGUUUUCCCUAACCAGUUUGGCGACAGCAAAAUUCCCAGAGCCAAUAUCUUUGAGAAUCUCAUAGCGCUCCAUGUUUUAGUAUUGCCAAUUUCACUGCAAUUCAACUACACACCAGUGUGCUGCGUUUUUUAACAUAAAAGGAAUGAAGAAUUAAAAGCCAAACUCAAAAUGAAUGUCUUAUUCAUACGAGACAGAAAAGUAGGUUCUCGGGUUUGUGAAAAUGCCCACCAAGUCUUAAUAAAGACGGAAUCCAACCCACCCUUUGACUUCAGUACGAACGUUGCUGUCCACAAUCACGGGGUGACAAAUAGGAAAACAGAGAACAGAAAAAUUCGAAAAAGAAAACAAAUGCAUAAAUCAAAC
rnacentral:sRNA from 1 species